rnacentral:rRNA from 1 species
UACGUAGGGUGCAAGCGUUGUCCGGAAUUAUUGGGCGUAAAGAGUUCGUAGGCGGUUUGUCGCGUCUGCUGUGAAAACUCGGGGCUUAACUCCGGGCCUGCAGUGGGUACGGGCAGACUAGAGUGCGGUAGGGGAGACUGGAAUUCCUGGUGUAGCGGUGAAAUGCGCAGAUAUCAGGAGGAACACCGGUGGCGAAGGCGGGUCUCUGGGCCGUAACUGACGCUGAGGAGCGAAAGCGUGGGGAGCGAACAGG